rnacentral:rRNA from 1 species
GUGGCAGCCGCCGCGGUAAUACGAAGGGCCCGAGCGUUAAUCGGAAUCACUGGGCUUAAAGCGUACGUAGGCGGACGCGCAGGCAUCUUGUGAAAUCCCUCGGCUCAACCGAGGAACUGCUUGGUGAACCGCGUGUCUUGAGGCAAGUAGGGGCUGUCGGAACGAUAGGUGGAGUGGUGAAAUGCGUUGAUAUCUAUCGGAACGCCGAAGGAGAAAUCAGGCAGCUGGGCUUGUUCUGACGCUGAGGUACGAAAGCGUGGGGAGCGAACGGGAUUAGAUACCCCGGUAGUCCACGCCGUAAACGAUGUGCACUAGAUCGAGGGGGUUCUGACACUGCUCUCGGUCGAAGCAAAAGUGUUAAGUGCACCGCCUGGGGAGUACGGUCGCAAGGCUAAAACUCAAAGGAAUUGACGGGGGCUCACACAAGCGGUGGAGCAUGUGGCUUAAUUCGAAGCAACGCGAAGAACCUUAUCCUGGGCUUGACAUGCACGGAUUAACCCGCCGAAAGGCGGGCCACGCCUUCGGGUGGAACGUGCACAGGUGCUGCAUGGCUGUCGUCAGCUCGUGCUGUGAAGUGUCGGGUUAAGUCCCUUAACGAGCGAAACCCCUAUCGCUAGUUGCCAGCGGGUCAUGCCGGGGACUCUAGCGAGACUGCCGGCGUCAAGUCGGACGAAGGUGGGGAUGACGUCAAGUCCGCAUGGCCUUUAUGCCCAGGGCUGCACACGUGCUACAAUGGCGGGUACAGAACGAUGCAAUACCGCGAGGUGGAGCAAAUCGCAAAAACCCGCCCCAGUUCAGAUUGCAGGCUGCAACUCGCCUGCAUGAAGUUGGAAUCGCUAGUAAUCGCGGAUCAGCUACGCCGCGGUGAAUACGUUCCUGAGCCUUGCACACACCGCCCGUC